rnacentral:piRNA from 1 species
UAACGCCAAUGACCGUUCCCC